ACACGACUACAUUAGAUACCCGUGUAGUCCCAGCCGUAAACGAUACUCGCUAGGUGUCGGCCACGGUGCGACCGUUGUCGGUGCCGUAGGGAAGCCGUGAAGCGAGCCACCUGGGAAGUACGGCCGCAAGGCUGAAACUUAAAGGAAUUGGCGGGGGAGCACAACAACGGGUGGAGCUUGCGGUUUAAUUGGAUUCAACGCCGGAAAUCUUACCGGGACCGACAGCAACAUGAAGGCCAAGCUGAAGACUUUGCCGGAUUAGCUG
rnacentral:rRNA from 1 species